rnacentral:rRNA from 1 species
UACGUAGGGGGCAAGCGUUGUUCGGAAUUACUGGGCGUAAAGGGCGCGUAGGCGGCAUGGCAAGUCAGGAGUGAAAGGCCUGGGCUCAACCGAGGAGCUGCUUUUGAUACUGCCAAGCUAGAGUGCGGAAGGGGCAACUGGAAUUCCCAGUGUAGCGGUGAAAUGCGUAGAUAUUGGGAAGAACACCUGAGGCGAAGGCGGGUUGCUGGGCCGACACUGACGCUGAGGCGCGAAAGCGUGGGGAGCAAACAGG